GCUCGGAAGCAGGCGGCGACCAACCCCACAGCGCACGCGCGUGACUAGAUGCAUCCCUCGCGUAGCAGGAAGUUCGUCCUCUUUUUCUUUUUUUUGACAGGCGGCCGGUGGAGGCUUGGGAGCGUUACGGGAUCUCUCCCGCCCCCGCCCCCCCCGGGAUCCUGAGCUCUCCCUGGUGCGAGUGAAUGUGGUCAUCACAGAAAAUGCUUGGAAUAAAGUUGAGGCUGAAACUACAAAAGCACUUCAAGAAAGCUGGAUUUUGUUGCAAUGGAUGACGACAUGGCAAUCUGCAAUGAACCUGACCUAGAAGCAAUUUUCCAAUCGGUAUGGAUUGAGGUACAAAUCAGCAGAAAAGUGCUGGAAGCAACUGAUGAAGUAGAUGAAUUAAGCGAAGAAUUAGGUGAGGACGACACACUAAUUGCAGAUAUUCCGAAAGAGGAUGUCAGUCACUUGAUAAGGCAAUUAAAGUCAUUUGCCAUGGAAAAAUGCCCAGGUAUUCUGAGUGAUAUAACCAGCAUUGAGUGCUUUCUCCACUUACCUUCAUAAAAAGAAUAAGCAAUGGACUAAAAUUGACUUUUUCAGAAACAAUGAACAGGCCAUGAAAAAAUACAUACCUAAAUAUAUUGAUUUUGUAUUAUACAGUAUUUUAUGAUUUUUCUGUUUUCAUUGUUUCUGUAUGACUUUCUCUAAAGUUGUACAGUAAAAUGAGGCACAUGUUCACAUUAGUAUAGUCUGUAUGUUGAUAAGCACUGUACGUUGAGCCCUUUCCUUCAAUCCCUUCGGUGGUCAAUUUACUCUACUUAAAAUCCACUAACUUAAAGAAUAUGUAAAAGAUUUAGAGCUUUAUAGCCAGGCAUAUUCACAAGGUUCUGGCCACUGCAGUAUCUCCAGUUACAGGAUCUUGGUUUCUAGUCUCCCUGGCCAGCUUCCCACAAGCAAAGUCAAUGGGGAAACCAGCAGGAAGCCAGAAAUCGUUCCUAAUGCAUUAUACUGCAACAAUUUUUGAAUCAAGGUUGUUCAAACCAAACCAAUAGCAAUAUGAUUUGGGGAAAAUUAAUGUUUAAUUCUGGUCACAUCACGACACUACCUUUGUCUCAAAGGAUGGCCCAACAGGUUAUGGGCUUGUUAUAUAAAACUAUAGCUCCAAUACAAUUAAGAUACUUAAAAUUUAUAUUUUAAAGACUAGAGGCCAAAUAUUAGGAAAAAUUAGAAAAGCAUUAAUUGGGGGGAAACUACAUUUGUGCAUAUUAAGGCAAAGAUUUUGUUUAAGGAUUCCAGCAGUACAUAGCUAUGCAUCAUUUAGACGGGAGCUAAUAACAUUACUAAUAUCAACUGGAUUUCAUUUUAAAACUUGUCAUAACAUUUAAAUGCAGAAAGGUGAUCUUUCUGGGUACAAAGCUCCAUACUUCAAGAUGCCUAACCUUUUUUCUGGCCAGUUGAUCAAAAUAAAUGUUAAGUUUGGCCUUUCCAGGCAAGAUUACGGAGUUCUUUCUGGUAAUGGAGAACAUACAUAUAGUAAAUACUAGAGAAAAAUGUAUUUAUUCCUCCUUUUUCCUUGCAAUCCUGCUGAAAAUUGCUGGCUUUCUGCUUCCAUUAGCUGGAAACGUAUAAUCUUAAAUAGAAUUACUAUAAUUGUACUUCAAAAUUGCUGGUGUCUUGCUCCAGUCUUCCAACAAUUACCAAUAUUACAAAGCUGAACUGGGUGUUCACGCAAGCAGAUAUUUUAAUUGAUCCCACUUCCACCUUAAAGAAUUCAGAAAGUAUAAAUGGUUUUACCAGAUGUGGAAAUUACAAGUUAUAGAAAGUUGCAAAUUUUCAAAUGUUUCUGGAACUGAAAAAGCCAGGAUUGUAUCUUUCAAUGCUACCCAUAACUGAACAUGCAAACCAGUAAAAUGUUAAAUGAAGUUCAAAGUUUUCUUAAGGCUGGAACAGACUUCUCCAGCACUGCAGGUGAGCGAAUAUAUGCAUGUGUUAUUCAGGGACAGUUGCGUAGGCAUUACUUUUACACAUCAGAGAAUGUUAAUGUUCUGGCUAAGUAGCCCUCAAACAGCAAAGCAUAGAAGUCCAAACAACUAAUCAUCACAUCUCCACAUGAGGUUGGAUUCAGGUCUGGACAGUCUGGAGCCUUCUGCAACUUCCGCUUAUAAACAAAUCCCUUUUGUAGCGUAGGUACGUGGCAAGGGCUGUGGGCAGUUUGUGCGCAACUUUUAAGUCAGCAUUUAGUAAGCACUCUUAUGCAGAAUUAACUAUUGGUUCAUAGUAUUUUCUGCACUAGAGUGAACUAGAGAUGUGUGACAUGCCAGUUCUCUGUGUUACUUUCCCUUAAAGGAAAUUAUGGUAGCUAUGAAGUAUUUCAUGGGGUCAAAUUGCCUGCCUUCACUUUUAAAUGAAACUGUCAAGACUCUUUACAGGACAGUCAUCUGCAGAUCCUAAAUGAUUCAGUCUUUGUACUCUAUCUUCCAAUUUACCUAACAAAGCUAAUUCAUGAACACUGGAAGUAAUCCAUUACACUUUAUUGAAUGCUGUGUUGUAGUAAUAGAAUAGGAUCAUUCACAACCAAACAUGUUCAGAGGCUCAGUUCUUUAAUCUUUAGUUGAAACGGUUGUGUUGCUUAGACUGGGAAAAUAUUUUUUGUUUUGGAAUUGAAUUUUAAACUGCACCAUUUAUAUUUAGAACUUCUCAUAAGCUUGACUGAAGGAACCUGCCCAAGACAGGUUUCUUUUUAACAUAUUAUCCCAGAAGACUCACCACAAUGUCACACAUUAGAAUAGUUAUAUUCACAAUAACUGUGUGUUGGUUAGAUAUGACUGAAAACCUGGAACUCUUUGGCUACAUUUUUAAAAUGGCUGUUGAUUGCAUAUUUUUCAUUGUUUGGACAAGUAUAGUUAAACUGUGAAGAUUACUGAUUGGAGCUUGAAACCUUUUUGGUAACGCAACUCCUUUACAGGUAUAAACAAGUCCUAGCAAAGGGAAUGCCUGAAACAUUUACAAUUCCUUUCAUAAGUCAUUGUUAAGAGAAUUUUAUACAUAGCAUUACAGUAAUACUCCUACCCUUUGGCCUCAAUUAUUACUGAAAUUAUUCUGCUUUUUAAAAUGUUUCCAUUUAUCCAUCC